GCAGCAAAUUUUGAAGCAGCAAACUUUGAAGCAACAAAGUUUGAUUGAUCUCUUUUCACACUUUCACACGUUCUAUGUCAAAUAUUUCAAUCUAUUUAAACAUCAAUGUAUCAUUCUCAAAUUCACAAAUCAACAAAAAUUCACUCAAAUAUUUCCAAUUCGCAGCAACUGAUUUACUUCACUCAUUCAAGCUGGUGCGGCGCGACUAGGAUAUGAAUUUUAAUUGUAUUACUCAAGUUAGCAUUCAAGUUGAAGUUCAAGUUCAAGUUAAAGUUACAGGUGUGGGAUUUAUUUCAGUACAUGCACGUGGUUAAUAUUUGUCCAUUUUAAUAUUAUGUGUUUACCGUAUGUGUUGUAAAAAUAUUUAUCGCUAGGGGCCAGCAUAAUUGGUCCAGGACUUCACCGUCCUUGGUAUGCCACAAUGCGAUUUCAUGUUACAGGGUUGCAACCAUUAUAUUGUCGCCAGGGGCCCACAUAUAGGGUCCGGGACAUUAAAGUCCUUGGAUUGCCACAGUGCGUAUGGAAGUUAUGUUACGUUAUGACAAUAUGUGUUACCAUUUUAUUAACAUGGACAAUUAUUGCAUGUUCCCACACUGAGUGUACCCUGUAUGCUCAUCCCAUAUUCAACAGUUUCAGGUGAUUGAUAUCGGAGGCGCGUGGAGAGUCGAAUGGGCGCGUCGAAUCUAUUUAAAGAUAAAUGUUUCCUAAAACAUAUUAUGUUAUUUCAUGUGAUAUCUCUUGAUUAUGUAAACUCUGAAAUUCUAUACUAUUUGAGAUUUGUGUGUGAUUUGUUUGAAUAAAUGUUAUUAUAUUAUUUUAA